AGGCAUGCGCAGCUACCAUGCAGCCGAGCGGUAUAGAUCUUUCGGGAUCUAGAGAGCGGCGUACGGGUGCGGAACACGUGUGCAACCUGCCUUUAUCUGGGGGAUAGCCUUUCGAAAGGGAGAUUAAUACCCCAUAAUAUAUCAGAUGGCAUCAUUUGAUAUUGAAAACUCCGGUGGAUAGAGAUGGGCACGCGCAAGAUUAGAUAGUUGGUGAGGUAACGGCUCACCAAGUCUACGAUCUUUAGGGGGCCUGAGAGGGUGAUCCCCCACACUGGUACUGAGACACGGACCAGACUCCUACGGGAGGCAGCAGUGAGGAAUAUUGGACAAUGGGUGAGAGCCUGAUCCAGCCAUCCCGCGUGAAGGACGACGGCCCUAUGGGUUGUAAACUUCUUUUGUAUAGGGAUAAACCUACCCUCGUGAGGGUAGCUGAAGGUACUAUACGAAUAAGCACCGGCUAACUCCGUGCCAGCAGCCGCGGUAAUACGGAGGGUGCAAGCGUUAUCCGGAUUUAUUGGGUUUAAAGGGUCCGUAGGCGGAUGUGUAAGUCAGUGGUGAAAUCUCACAGCUUAACUGUGAAACUGCCAUUGAUACUGCAUGUCUUGAGUGUUGUUGAAGUAGCUGGAAUAAGUAGUGUAGCGGUGAAAUGCAUAGAUAUUACUUAGAACACCAAUUGCGAAGGCAGGUUACUAAGCAACAACUGACGCUGAUGGACGAAAGCGUGGGGAGCGAACAGGAUUAGAUACCCUGGUAGUCCACGCCGUAAACGAUGCUAACUCGUUUUUGGGCUUUCGGGUUCAGAGACUAAGCGAAAGUGAUAAGUUAGCCACCUGGGGAGUACGUUCGCAAGAAUGAAACUCAAAGGAAUUGACGGGGGCCCGCACAAGCGGUGGAUUAUGUGGUUAAUUCGAUGAUACGCGAGGACCUUACCAGGCUUAAUGGGAAUGACAGGUUAGAAUAGACUUUCUUCGGAAUUUUUCAGGUGCUGAUGGUGCGUC
rnacentral:rRNA from 1 species